GGCUCUAUGGUCUAGAGGUAUGAUUCCUGCUUUGGGUAAUGUCUGCAGGAGGCCCCGCGUUCGAAUCGCGGUGGAGCCC